rnacentral:rRNA from 1 species
CAUACCACCCUGAACGCACCUGAUCUCAUCUGAUCUCAGAAGCUAAGCAGGCUCAGGCCUGGUUAGUACUUGGAUGGGAGAAACCUGAAU